UCCAUCAGCCACAUCUCAGGGGAAUUCAUGGCCUCCUCCAGAAACUCCACUGGCCCAUGCUUGUUCAGGAGGUUGGAGCGUCCCAAGAUCUCGAUGGCCUCAAGGACGACGUCUGUCCUCUCUUCAGGCCCCAGGGACAUCCCCACUGACUCGGUGCCCCUUUGCACACACGAAUCCCCUGCUGAUGCACAGAGAGGAAAGUCAUGAGGGAGCAGAGAAUUUCCACCACCAUUGAGACGGUUUCUUCUGGCUUAAACAACUUGAAAAACAG